UUGGUGCUUGCAUCAUGAUUUACAUUUGAGUGAGUGGCGAACUGGUGAGUAACACGUGGGAAACCUGCCCAGAAGCGGGGGAUAACACCUGGAAACAGAUGCUAAUACCGCAUAACAACUUGGACCGCAUGGUCCGAGUUUGAAAGAUGGCUUCGGCUAUCACUUUUGGAUGGUCCCGCGGCGUAUUAGCUAGAUGGUGAGGUAACGGCUCACCAUGGCAAUGAUACGUAGCCGACCUGAGAGGGUAAUCGGCCACAUUGGGACUGAGACACGGCCCAAACUCCUACGGGAGGCAGCAGUAGGGAAUCUUCCACAAUGGACGAAAGUCUGAUGGAGCAACGCCGCGUGAGUGAAGAAGGGUUUCGGCUCGUAAAACUCUGUUGUUAAAGAAGAACAUAUCUGAGAGUAACUGUUCAGGUAUUGACGGUAUUUAACCAGAAAGCCACGGCUAACUACGUGCCAGCAGCCGCGGUAAUACGUAGGUGGCAAGCGUUGUCCGGAUUUAUUGGGCGUAAAGCGAGCGCAGGCGGUUUUUUAAGUCUGAUGUGAAAGCCUUCGGCUCAACCGAAGAAGUGCAUCGGAAACUGGGAAACUUGAGUGCAGAAGAGGACAGUGGAACUCCAUGUGUAGCGGUGAAAUGCGUAGAUAUAUGGAAGAACACCAGUGGCGAAGGCGGCUGUCUGGUCUGUAACUGACGCUGAGGCUCGAAAGUAUGGGUAGCAAACAGGAUUAGAUACCCUGGUAGUCCAUACCGUAAACGAUGAAUGCUAAGUGUUGGAAGGGUUUCCGCCCUUCAGUGCUGCAGCUAACGCAUUAAGCAUUCCGCCUGGGGAGUACGGCCGCAAGGCUGAAACUCAAAGGAAUUGACGGGGGCCCGCACAAGCGGUGGAGCAUGUGGUUUAAUUCGAAGCUACGCGAAGAACCUUACCAGGUCUUGACAUACUAUGCAAAUCUAAGAGAUUAGACGUUCCCUUCGGGGACAUGGAUACAGGUGGUGCAUGGUUGUCGUCAGCUCCUGUCCUGAGAAGUUUGGGUUAAAUCCCCCAACGAGGGCAACCCUUAUUAUCAUUUGCCACCAUUAAAUUUGGGCACUCUGGUGGAGACUGCCCGUGACAAACCCGAGGAAAAGGUGGGGGAUGAAAUUCAAAAUCAAUAAUGCCCCCUUUUGACCCGGGCGUACCACCCGCGUUCAAAGGGAGGGGGUCACACAAAUUUGGGAACCCCCCCGAAGAGAACCAUUUAGUCUUAA
rnacentral:rRNA from 1 species